GGCUUUGUUUGCGCAGGAUAGGUGGGAGGCGUUGAAAGUUUUCUUGCGGGAAGAUUUGAGCCAUUGGUGAGAUACCACUCUAACAAUGCUAGGAUUCUAACCCUAUGUCGUUAUCCGGCUAGGGGACAGUUUCAGGUGGUCAGUUUGACUGGGGCGGUCGCCUCCUAAAAGGUAGCGGAGGCGUGCAAAGGUUCCCUCAGGCUGGUUGGAAAUCAGUCGUAGAGUGUAAAGGCAUAAGGGAGCUUGAUUGUGAGACCUACAAGUCGAACAAAGACGAAAGUCGGCCUUAGUGAUCCGGCGGUACCGAGUGGAAGGGCCGUCGCUCAACGGAUAAAAGUUACUCUAGGGAUAAC
rnacentral:rRNA from 1 species